GAUGAACGCUGGCGGCGUGCCUAACACAUGCAAGUCGAGCGAAGCGCUUAAAUUAGAUUUCUUCGGAAUGACGAUUUUUGUGACUGAGCGGCGGACGGGUGAGUAACGCGUGGGUAACCUGCCUCAUACAGGGGGAUAACAGUUAGAAAUGACUGCUAAUACCGCAUAAGAUCACAGCUUCGCAUGAAGCGGUGGUAAAAACUCCGGUGGUAUGAGAUGGACCCGCGUCUGAUUAGCUAGUUGGUAAGGUAACGGCUUACCAAGGCGACGAUCAGUAGCCGACCUGAGAGGGUGACCGGCCACAUUGGGACUGAGACACGGCCCAGACUCCUACGGGAGGCAGCAGUGGGGAAUAUUGCACAAUGGGGGAAACCCUGAGGCAGCGACGCCGCGUGAAGGAUGAAGUAUUUCGGUAUGUAAACUUCUAUCAGCAGGGAAGAAAGUGACGGUACCUGACUAAGAAGCCCCGGCUAACUACGUG
rnacentral:rRNA from 1 species